rnacentral:lncRNA from 1 species
CGUUCCCCAUUUAUGUCUCACGUUCAUUGCUUAAAUUUCCGUAUUGUAGCGUAAAACGAAUAUCAAUUACAGUUUGGUUAAAUGAUUCCGUGAGACAUACGCGCGCAAUACUGAAAGAAUAACUCAAGUCGUAUUUUUGUAAAACCUGGAAAGAUGUCUUAAAAGCUUCGCCUUGUCGGACGAGACAUAAGUAAAGCCGAAACAGCUGCACAGGGAGACCGACUUCAUUGUUUAUUUCCUCGUUGCUUUUAAAUGGGGUAAAGAGAAUGGGCAGUCAGCAUCAAUAAUGCCUUUGAGCGAAUUUUCUGGUUGCAUCUGACACAUGACAGAGACUAUUGUUGUUAUUUUAAAAGAUGUCAACCCAGAUGCUGUAUUUGUCAUGACUGCAAAAACUUUUGAUGAGGUUUUUCCUCUGACGUCAUGAAUAUAAACAUUCACGUUCCAGAGUAGUAAUGACGUAAUCUUGUCAUUGGACGAAUUUAGUAUACCCGAUCUAAUUCUUCAAAGUGUCGAAAAAACUAAGUCAUCGCUAAGGUGAGGGCGUAGAUGAAUUUUUGCUAUUUUUUUAGGUAGCCCACAUUGAAAAUUUAAAAAUAAAACGGGAGGGGAAUGGCCCAGUAGUGUGAGCACUCGCCUCCCACCGCUGGCCUGGGUUCGAUUCCCAGACUUGGCGUCACAUAUAGGAUGAGUUUGCUGUUGGUUCCCGUUCUCAUUCCGAGGGUUUCUCCCCGGGUUCUCCAGUUUUUCUCCCUCCACAAAAACCAAAAUUAUAAAUUCCAAUUAGACCUGGAAACAGAGGACAAAGUUAAAUUUUCACUAUUAGUAAUAGAACUAUUACUAUUAUUAUAAAACUGAACGGCCAGUAUUUCGGCACACGCAUGAAAGUUAAAUUUAUUUAUUAUUACUAACAAUGAUUAUCAUUAUCAUUUUUAUUAUUAUCGUCAUUAUGAUUAUUAUUGAAUGCGAUACGAAAGCAAUUUUGAAUAUAUUAGUCACUUCUUCCUACAGGAAAAAAAUUGUCUUUGAGGAGAAACUUAAUUUUCUUCACUUGCAGCAGACAAAAAGGAAAAAAAAACGAAAUAAAAGAUGCCUUUUAAAAGUUCGAGAAUCUCACUCACUGAUUCGAGACUAAGAAUCAUAUGUUUCUUUAAAUUGGAAUUAAAAAUUACAUUCAGAUCCAAGGCUUCGCGCUUAAAAUAGAGGGAUUGGACAUAUUUUUGAAAUUAGCUUGAAAUAAUAAAAAACAAUAAGACAAUAUUGCCUCGAAUGAAAUAAUAUAAAGUUGAUCGAUAAAUCAAUAAAAAAAACUACUAAUACAUAACAUGUCACUCUUCCCAACAUUGUGUUUGUCAUUAUAAAAUAUUCAAAAUCCCAGAAAUGUUUCCCAGCUGAGCAAUUACAACUCACCCACGACUCGCCACCUAUUAAUUAAUAUGUUAAUACAUUUCUAUUAUUUGAUAAGGUGGGAUAUUCUUCUUUUUAAUCCCUAGCUCUUUUAGCGAGUCUAAUUUCUAAAUCAAAGGUAAAGAUGGAGACGGCUGCAUAGAUCAAUCUAUGAUCUGUUUUACCUUAAUCUUCAAUCUUUUUCUCGAAAAUUUUAGUUAUCAUCGGUAUGUUAAUGACUAAAAGCUCGGUGACACAGUUGGCGAUUUUCGUAGAUCGUCAUAAACGGGUAGAUUAAAUUUUGCAUCGACAGCGAUUAUAUAUGUUGGCAUUCGCCUGGUGUAUUUGUUCCCCCGAUUUUCUAUUCACCGAAGCUGAGAACGCUGUUAAAACUUCUAGUUGCUUAGUGCUAGCCUAUAAGCUUAACCUAAGCCAAGUAACUCAUUGGAACAUGUGCAAGUGAAACAUAUAGGAGGAGGUGAUUGUUAUUAUAUUAUUUUUAAUAUUAUUAUUGUUAGUAUUAUUAUCAUUAUCAAUAUCUUCGUUAUAACUGUCUUUAGAUCUAUGAUUAUGGGAUUAAUAUUCAUGAACAGGGAAGUUAUUACUUCUUAUACUAAACACGGUAGAACCCUUAAGCAACAACGAAAUUUAAUGAAUCUAAUCUGAAAGUCAAAGACACAAUUGGAAAAGCUGUUCCAACCCAUCUAUCUGUACGCGGUAUGAACAGCACUUACAGUCUUACAAUCAACCUUACGCCGAGAAAAUAUGGAGUCCGAGAAGUUAUUUCCAACACAUGUCCUUCCCGCUUGCUCAUAAAUUUUUGAAACUAAUUUUAGUGCGUAAUCUUUUUUCUUUGUGUUGUACGUAUAAUUAUCACGAGUUCCAUUUGAUUAAAUACUUAAGAUGUUACUUGCA